CGACAGAGACAGACAGGAGAGUAGGCACGGACGACCGGAUGGACGAACGAACACGGCAUGGACGUGCGGAGCGGCUCCGAGGUGCACAUACGUCGGAAAGUGCGAUUGUUGGGAUAAGUCGAUAGUGUUGGUGGAAGCAUCGAUGAGCAAUACGAUGGUGCUACCAAUUUGGAUAAUUCGCUUUUGAUAAAUGGAAAUACAAAUGGAAAUACUCUGGCAGGCUCUAGAAGCAACAUUUUGUCGUGUUACUGAUGACUAUUUAGUAUCAGUGACCGUGUGCAAUCUUCAUUCACCGUUGCGUCCAAAACGAUUCGAUGAUCUCACGGUAUUCUCGCCUGAUUAAUUCUUCGGCCGAAAAAUUUAUUGAUAUUGACUGCUGAUGAAAGGUACACGGUGUCGGGUAUUCGAUACCUAAUAGUGACCCGAGUCCAGUCGGCGCCGGACGUUACUGCUGCUCCUGCAAGCUUCUUGGCUCUUUCCUAUCUGUCUAUUAUAAUCAGUAUCGUAACGUUUUACUCGAUACCGCACUCAAGAUGGUCUGAUGAUUCGAUAUUUCACGAUACCCUCGACUGGAUGACCGACGCUUCUCCAAAAAAAUUGAUGUCUAUUGAUAUUGACUGAUGAUGAAAGGUACACGAUGUCAAGAGUGUUCGAUACCUCGCGCAAGUGUAUCAGUGUCAUCACUAGUAGCAAAGGAUCCAGUGUACCCUCGCGCUGAUCAUCGCUGCUACUUUUGCAACGCACUUCUUUUUCCCUCUCUCUCUCUCUCUGUCUCUCUCUUUCUAUCUGCGUCUUUGAUUCUCCUCAGAAACCACUCUUUCUACCUACUUACCUAUCCCUACUUUGCGUGCUUGCACGCUGCUGCUGCUGCUGGUGAACGUCACUCGGUCAAGGUCCCCCACCAAAAACCUGCAACAACAUACCACCGCCGACGCUUCGCUCGAUCCUGCCAUGGUCGACUUGGUCCACGGACAACGCUAUACUUGGUGUGAACCGACAGUCGCGAGGCCGUCGAGACGAGGGUGAGAUACUCUUCGAGUCGUCCUCGAUAGCGAUUUAGCACUGAAUGCGGUGUUAAGCGCACAAGAGUAUGAAUAUGGACUUCGGCCUCGUGUGUGCUCGUCGCACGUUUCAUGCUAAAUGCAGCCGUCCAAAUGGCGACAUUGGAUGCAGCUUUCCGUUUUAGUUGAUAUUCCAUUCGGUAUUAAAUUAUAGAGAUAAAUCCAUGUAUAGCAAAUUCAUAUUAUUCUGAAUUAUUUAGGAUAGAAAUAUGGAUAUGCUUAAGAUUGAUCCUUGCACUACCAAGGAUUUUUUAGUAAGUUUUGGUUAAAGCAAAUGGCUUUAAAAAAGAUUCUACUAAAAAGGCGUGAUACUAUAUUUUAUGAAAAAAUAUUUUUGUAUAAAUUUUUAUACACGAAUAUACCGUUUUAUACCGUAUAAGAAUAUACGUGACAUCUGACUUUGAGACUUUUACGUGAUAUCCUUCUUAAGAAUGCUACAGACAUCCUUUGCAUUCUGAACAAUUAUAUAGGAUCACAGAUCAAGACGGAUAAAGCCAAGACAAAUUCUGGAAACGUGGGAAUGCAAGUGAAUGUUUGAUUGUUUGUGAUCUAGCGCUCGCUAAAAGAACACUGAAAACAAUUUCUAAAAAUUUUACAUAGUAAAAUAUGCGGGCUAAAAAGACUUGGUCGACGUUACUCGUCUGCCGAAGUUUCUACUUCGGGUUGUUGCAAAUAGUUACGGGAUAAAAUGUUUAUGGUCUCAGCGGAACGUGGACUCUCGCGAUCACGCGUCGACGAUCGGCGUCACGGACGGUAGCAUACCCCGAUAAUAACAGGAUAUUUUACGAUCGAUUUGGCGGAUAAGCGUGUUUACGUUAGAGAUCUCGUCUUGGACUUUAUGCGGGGCCCCGUGCGGCGUAUCGGCGCGCGGUGUUGAGAUGAUACGCGGCGUUUCAGCGAAUAUGACUAUAAAUAAAGAAAAUAACGAGGAUAGGCUACUGGGGCUGGUACCGGGAGAAUAACAGACACGCAGAAGGCGAGUUACUGAGGGAAAAUUGUGCUCCGCUAAAUAUAAGGAUCAAAAAGGGGUAUAUAUAUAUAUUAUAUAUUAUAUACAUAUAUACUAGCGCAGAGAGAACAGAACAGACAGAGUACAAUUACACGUGAUUGAGGAUCGGUCUUGUUUCUAUUUUGCUUGAUUUCUGUGGGUAGUUAGCCCCGAUCCCGCACACCAGGUCCAAUCACAAUGCCGAGCCUCUCUCUCUUGCUCACCGUCUCUUCAUCUCUUUCGCCUGAGCAGAGCCCUAUUAUGAUUGGCGUAAUCAUCGCACGGGCGAAUCAGCGGCACUCACUCGGCUACAUAAAUAAUUGGGCCUUAAAGUCGGCCUACGUGCCGUGGAUCUAGGCUGAUGAGGGGUGGACGGAGAUGCUCCACAUUGGACAUGCCGCCGCGUUGCGCGCUGCACCGCCGCUGGAGGAGAGUUAUUGCAUAGCAUGAUGAUGGGGCAGCGAGGCGGGUCGUUAAGGUACGCACCCUCGACGCAACAUCGGUCGUCCGCUCCGGAAAAAUACGUUUAUGCAAAACAUCGAUCUAAUAAAUGUCCCCGGGUUACUACUCAAUCAGCGCUGCCGGGCUUAUUGAGUUACGCGGAUUACGUCCAUUACAAUACAUGCAGAUUGAUUCCUUCCGCGACGAUCACGACACUCGCCCUAUCCGAUUUGCAUGUGCAAGGCGCCUGAUACGUCGCGGCAUGCGAUGUAUCAAAAUAACGAGGUUUUGGAAUCGAAAAUUAUAUGUAUUUAUUUUAUUCAGUUUUAUUAGUAUUAUAAAUACUCUUUUAAUUUAAUUUAAAGUUUUGAUUUCGUUACUUUGAGAUUAUGAUCUUGUUUAAAGAAACCUUGUAAGCUAAUUCUAAGUAUGUAAAUUAAAAUUUAUACUUUAAUCAAAUUAAAAAUUACACACUAAAUCGUGAAGUCAACUUUGAAAAAAACUUUUUGUAAUUUUCUCUUUCCUGCAGAUUUGUUAAUGUAUUUAACGUCGUUGUAAUUAAAAAUUAUUUGAGAAAA